UGGGGAAUCUUGCGCAAUGGACGAAAGUCUGACGCAGCCACGCCGCGUGAGUGAAGAAGGCCUUCGGGUUGUAAAGCUCUGUCGGAGGGGACAAAAACCAAUUCGGUUAAUAGCCGAGUUGCUUGAUGGUACCCUUAAAGGAAGCACCGGCUAACUUCGUGCCAGCAGCCGCGGUAAUACGAAGGGUGCAAGCGUUGCUCGGAAUUAUUGGGCGUAAAGGGUAGGUAGGUGGUGGCAAAAGUCCGGAGUGAAAUCCCUGAGCUUAACUCAGGACGUGCUUUGGAAACUUUGUCACUAGAGUACUAGAGAGGUUCGUGGAAUUCCUGGUGUAGCGGUGAAAUGCGUAGAGAUCAGGAGGAACAUCAGCGGCGAAGGCGGCGAACUGGAUAGUAACUGACACUCAACUACGAAAGCGUGGGGAGCAAACAG
rnacentral:rRNA from 1 species